UAAUUUUUAGUUUAAAAUAAAACAUUAAAUUGCAAAUUUAAAAUUAUAUAAAUAUAAAAUUAU
rnacentral:tRNA from 1 species